GAUGAACGCUGGCGGCGCGCCUAAUACAUGCAAGUCGAGCGAACAGAUGAGAAGCUUGCUUCUCUGAUGUUAGCGGCGGACGGGUGAGUAACACGUGGGUAACCUACCUAUAAGACUGGGAUAACUCCGGGAAACCGGGGCUAAUACCGGAUAAUAUUUUGAACCGCAUGGUUCAAUAGUGAAAGACGGUCUCGGCUGUCACUUAUAGAUGGACCCGCGCCGUAUUAGCUAGUUGGUAAGGUACCGGCUUACCAAGGCGACGAUACGUAGCCGACCUGAGAGGGUGAUCGGCCACACUGGAACUGAGACACGGUCCAGACUCCUACGGGAGGCAGCAGUAGGGAAUCUUCCGCAAUGGGCGAAAGCCUGACGGAGCAACGCCGCGUGAGUGAUGAAGGUCUUCGGAUCGUAAAACUCUGUUGUUAGGGAAGAACAAAUUUGUUAGUAACUGAACAAGUCUUGACGAUACCUAACCAGAAAGCCACGGCUAACUACGUGCCAGCAGCCGCCGUAA
rnacentral:rRNA from 1 species